rnacentral:rRNA from 1 species
AGCCUACGGGACGCAGCAGUGGGGGAUAUUGCACAAUGGGGGGAACCCUGAUGCAGCGACGCCGCGUGGGUGAAGGAGCGUUUCGGCGCGUAAAGCCCUAUCGGCAGGGAAGAAGGAGGACGGUACCUGACCAAGAAGCCCCGGCUAACUACGUGCCAGCAGCCGCGGUAAUACGUAGGGGGCAAGCGUUAUCCGGAUUUACUGGGUGUAAAGGGAGCGUAGGCGGCUGUGUAAGCCAGAAGUGAAAUCC